rnacentral:rRNA from 1 species
GAUGAACGCUGGCGGCGUGCCUAAUACAUGCAAGUCGAGCGAACGGACGAGAAGCUUGCUUCUCUGAUGUUAGCGGCGGACGGGGGAGUAACACGUGGAUAACCUACCUAUAAGACUGGGAUAACUUCGGGAAACCGGAGCUAAUACCGGAUAAUAUUUUGAACCGCAUGGUUCAAAAGUGAAAGACGGUCUUGCUGUCACUUAUAGAUGGAUCCGCGCUGCAUUAGCUAGUUGGUAAGGUAACGGCUUACCAAGGCAACGAUGCAUAGCCGACCUGAGAGGGUGAUCGGCCACACUGGAACUGAGACACGGUCCAGACUCCUACGGGAGGCAGCAGUAGGGAAUCUUCCGCAAUGGGCGCAAGCCUGACGGAGCAACGCCGCGUGAGUGAUGAAGGUCUUCGGAUCGUAAAACUCUGUUAUUAGGGAAGAACAGAUGUGUAAGUAACUGUGCACAUCUUGACGGUACCUAAUCAGAAAGCCACGGCUAACUACGUG